rnacentral:misc_RNA from 1 species
AAGUCGUAACAAGGUUUCCGUAGGUGAACCUGCGGAAGGAUCAUUACCGAAUGGACACUUAGUUGUUUACUCGGCUAAGGUAGCCCAAUGACUCGAUCAUUUCUAGUGGGUUGUGUGCGGCGGCAACGCUGCACACAGCUCCAUAUGUGUUUGAGAUUACUUGGUAGUACCGCGAUAGGUGCUACCAGGCGUUUUUCAAACGUUCUUUCAUGCUAUAACAAAAGUGUGUGUGCGAGCUCUCACCGAGCGAGCGCAUUCACUCUAAAACAAACUAAACUAAAGCACGACUGCAAACGGUGGAUCACUCGGUUC